UUCUCCGUCGAAGUUUGUGUCUGAGACCGUCUGCUUCGACUUCGUGAUAUACGUCCAUAUUUCACGUGUUUCGCUGUGAUAUUUUCUCCCAAAGGAGAUUGUAUCAUGUCUACGAGUACAGGAACGAGAUGUUAUGUUCCUGGCUGCAUGAAUUCGUCGGUGGCCAACCCGGAACUAACGUUUCACCGACCGAGGGACAAUGACACAAAACGAAAAUGGGAGGCGGCCAUCGCCAGCAGAUAUCCUGCUAUGGAGAAAGAACGUCGUGUUCCGCACAUAUGUUCUUCGCACUCCUCUGACGAAGCUUAUCUGGAGACAGACAUCAUGCAGGUUCGCCUCGGGUUUGCUCCAAAACGAAGGCGGCUAAAACCUGACGCUAUGCCCACGUUGUUCCCGGAACAAGUGGAAAGCCUUGGCAUGCCCAGUGACGAGGUAAGCUUUUAGUUCAGUCCGAGAGCGGUAUAGUGUAAUAUAUAUAGCAGUAUAGUGUGCAGUUAGGCAGUCGUGAUUUCCAAACAGAACUAUCUAACAACCAAUACUAUUUAUUGGCCGGCAAAUGUGCACAUUGCGGGACAUCGACGGCACAACCAUAACGAGACUGAAGAUGCGGUUAUUAUCCCCUCACAUGGCGCGUGUAAAGUGUCUGCUUCGAGUGCUUUCAUAUGUAUCUAUUUCUCUUUCUUAAACACUGUAUUUCUAUUACUGGCUCAGUCAGGCAGCAUGAUGGAGUCUGCUCCAUUUGGUAUGUCAACAACAAUAUAUCUUCUCUUAUAGCAUUGGUAGUGCGCGUGUUGUCUGUCAGUAGUAGCCUGCCUAGCAGUAAUAUAUAGUGAUAGUAUCUUUUGUAAUAUGUAUAGAGAUUGCUUUCAUUAAUAAAGGAAUAUAUCUCAUGGCUCUGGGCAGAUAACAAUAUCAUUCAAGAUGAUGGUUGGCUAGGAGCGUGCUAUGCGGUGAAGUUCAUUUUUAAAAGUGUGGUUGCUGUCAUGCUCCUAAAGUGCUACACAGUUUUGUGGCCAUUUCACACUUUCUCCUUUUCUUUUAGACUAUACGUCAAUCCUCAUUGGCGAGGUGUCGUCUCGCAUAGAAAAACACCUAAAGGAGCCUGGUUCUGUGGAAAUUGGACCACCACGUGCAUCAACAUAUGGUGAAAGACCAGCUUUGGCACAAGCUGUGGAAAAGCACCAGGCCAGGUUCCGGAAGUGAGGACUGUGACCACCUCACACGCUGACACUUCAGACCUUUCAGAAACCAUGACAAAGAAGAAAAAGAACAAAAAAAGGCCCUUUUCAGGGCCACCCAAUGCUUUACACAGAGACAAGCGUUGCUUUUUGAAAACGUCUUGAAGGACCUGCAACAAUGCUGAGGUCAUGAGAGCUCUGGAAUAUUCACCAACAGUGGUGGCACCCAACAGGAGGUCUCAGCUACGCCGCUUUCCUGGCUUGUAUUUUAUGUACGGAGUACAUUCCCUAACCUAGAGAGUGAGAUUCGUUCAUUUCACUCUACAUGCCAAAAUAAGUGUUUUUCAACAGCUUUGCGUGGUAUAGGGGAAGGAUUGCUAGCGGGGAUGUAGUAAGAUGUGGUUGUAUCUCGUGGGCCCUUCCUUGAUCUUUUACACCCGGUGAUAACACAAUAGCCAACAGAAUUGAGCAUAAAAUAUUGCUACAGUGUUCUAUCUUUGCCACAAAAUAAGCCCAACAUGUAUCUACAGAUUCCGACAAAAGCUCCAACAGAACACAGGGUUGGCAUGUAUUUCUUCUUAGGAGUGCCACCUAAGCCGCAAAAUUCGUCCGUAGCUGACACACUGACAGGUGGGAACCUUGGUAGCCUAGCCACAUAUUUGUAAUUGCAUCCACACCAGUUCGCUGAUACGGCAUCAGUCCUGUGAGGAAGUAUGUCAACCCUCUGUUCUGUAAGCUUUUGAAGGAAUCUGUAGAUACUUAUGAGGUGGCAUAACUGUGCCAGCUAUUUUGUCUUCCUACUGCGCUCACUGACAUGUGGGAAGCAUCACGGUGGUCUUGAAUGAAGCUCUGUUCACAGCUGUCGAAGAAGGGUCAUAUGCCUGAAAGAGGUAAGGUAAUGAUAGGAACAAGACUCAUAAUGUACCAUGUUCACUUUUUUUUUUUCAAGUUUUAUCCGGGGCACAUCAGCACUGUAUUACGUCAAAGCUAUAAUGUCAUAAAAAGCUUUUAGGUACACAGGCAUAACAUGUUGUGUAAUAUGAAUUGUUAUUUUUCACUCCAAUACAUGGUUUGUGUGAAUUAUUUAUCUGUAAUAAAUGAAAUUCUAGAA